rnacentral:rRNA from 1 species
GAUGAACGCUGGCGGCGUGCCUAAUACAUGCAAGUCGAGCGAACGGACGAGAAGCUUGCUUCUCUGAUGUUAGCGGCGGACGGGUGAGUAAUAUGUGGAUAACCUACCUAUAAAGCUGGGAUAACUUUGGGAAACCGUAGCUAUUCCGCGAUAUUUUUUUGAACCGCAUGGUUCAAAAGUCGAAGACGUUCUUGCUGGCUCUUAUCGAUUGAUCCUCGCUUGAUUAGCUAGUUGGUAAGGUAACGGCUUACCAAGGCGACGAUGCCUAGCCGACCUGAGAGGGUGAUCAGCCACACUGGAACUGAGACACGGUCCAGACUCCUACGGGAGGCAGCAGUAGGGAAUCUUGCGCAAUGGGCGAAAGCCUGACGGAGCAACGCCGCGUGAGUGAUGAAGGUCUUCGGAUCGUAAAGCUCUUUUAGUGGGGAAGAACAUAUGUGUAAGUAACUGUGCACAUAUUGACGGUACCUAAUCAGAAAGCCACGGCUAACUCCGUG